GACGAACGCUGGCGGCGUGCUUAACACAUGCAAGUGGAGCGACGAACCAGGCUUCGGCCUGGGGCAAAGCCGCGAACGGGUGAGUAACACGUGGGUAACCUGCCCCGAUGAUCGGGACAACCCGGGGAACCCGGGCUAAUACCGGAUGUGCUCCCGCCACACCAGUGGCGGGUGGAAAGGAAGCUUCGGCCUCCGCAUCGGGAGGGGCCCGCGGCCCAUUAGCUUGUUGGUGGGGUAACGGCCUACCAAGGCAACGAUGGGUAGCUGGUCUGAGAGGACGAUCAGCCACACUGGGACUGAGACACGGCCCAGACUCCUACGGGAGGCAGCAGGUGGGGAAUCUUGCGCAAUGCGCG
rnacentral:rRNA from 1 species